AGAUGGAGUCUCGCUCUGUCGCCCAGGCUGGAGUGCAGUGGCCGGAUCUCGCUACUACAUUUCUGAUGUUUCUGAGCAAGAUGCUUGCAUGAAAGAUUCAAUCUAAUGCCAAUGCAAAAAUAUUGUGAAAGCAACAGGAUCAGCUAGGCUUCCAGUUGGCUUCUUAAAUGCUGCAUUGAGAGGAUGAAACAGAAUGGGUGUGAACAAGAGUUCCCUGAGAAAGGACAGCUCUUAGAGAGAUAGGAUGCUUACUGGACUCAAGAGGAUACCAAAUUAUGAUCACUUGCUCUGGGGAAAGCCAGCUGUCAUAUUGUGAGCAGACCUAUGAAAAGGCCCACUUGGUGAAGAACUGAGGCCUCUGACUGAUGGACACAUGGGUGACCUUGCAAUCAAGUCUUCUGGCCCCAACCAAGCCUUCAGCUGAGACUGCAGCCUCAUGAAAGAUCCUGAGCUAGAAGCAUCCUGCCAUCCUAAUAAGCCACUUGAAUUUCUGACCCUUAAAAAUUGUGAGAUAAUAAGCCCCUGUGCUUUUUUUAAGUAUUAGGUUUAAAAAAUGCUGAAAAAAUAAAGAAGAAAAAAGACAACUCAUAAUCUCACCACAUUAAAAAGAAUAGCUAUAGAAAAAUUCCAGUAGUAUAAAAAAUAAAAAUGGAAAUAACUCCCACCAUCCCUGAUCUUUAGUUCUUUUUCCCACAGUGACAUUUUCUUUCCCAAGACAUGUUCAUGCAUAUGCAAUAUAUGUGUAAACUCUUUAAGAUGUUCACAAAAGGAUCAUGUUACACUCAUUUGAAAAACUUAAUAUUAUAUCUUGAAGAUGUCUUCAUAUCAGUAUAUAUACAUCUAUCUUAUUUUUAAAAUAGAUUUCCCAUAAUUUAAAUGUACCGUAUUUCUUUUACCAGUCCCCGUAUAUGGACAUUUAGGAUAUUUCCAGUAUUCUUUUCUGUUAUAAAAAUGUGGUGAUAAACACUUUCAUGCUUUUUUGAGUACCCUCAAGUAAAGUCCUAUAGGUAGCAUUCUGGCAUCAUGUUGUAUGUGCAUUUAAAGUUGAUGCUAUUCACUUGUUCCACAAUCUUUGCUCUGAGUUUACACUGAUGAAGCAUGGGAAUGCUAUAUCCCCACAAACCUGUGCAUACUGUUGAUAGUAAGCAUUGUUUGCUAUUUUCUGACUAUUUAUUUUUCUUCUUUUGAUAAUUGCCAUGCCUAGAAGAGUGGCUGUCUUAUAAUAUAUAAGAUAAUAACUUGAUAACUAGCAUUUCUGAGGCUUCUUGUGCUUUGCAUAUAUUUAGUGUUUUGAUACUUAUAAAGACCCUAUGAAGUCGGUACUAUUAUUACCUACUUCUGGUUGGUGGGAAAACUGAGCCAUGGAGAAAUUAAACAGACGUCCCAGGUCACACAACUAGGAAGGGUAGAGCCAGGAUGCAAAUGAUAUGGAAUUUGCAAAAAUGAA